GCCUUGUUAGCGCAGUAGGCAGCGCGUCAGUCUCAUAAUCUGAAGGUCGUGAGUUCGAUCCACACACGAGGCA
rnacentral:tRNA from 1 species